rfam:Lactobacillus bifermentans DSM 20003 NODE_294, whole genome shotgun sequence.
GGUAUUUGUUUACCUCCCACAAUUAAGCCCCGGAAACUUUAUUGUAAUUCAGGAAACAAUAC